UGAUUCGAGUAGGAGGAGUGGGUGAACAUUUCAUCAUUGUUCAGGUAGACGGCCUCGCACACACGCACAUUAUAUCGCAGUUCCCCUCCUUCCCUUUCAUCCAUCUCCAAUCUUUGCUGCCAGAGUCUGCUCCACCAUCUGCUCCAAGAACGCCAAUCACUUGCCUGGAUCUAUACUGGUGACUAACUGACCGGUGAGUAGAUCGGGCUGUGCAAGCUAUCUUUCAGUUCGGUUACCUUGCUGAAGCACCGAUUGAUCAGCGAAUGAUGAUGGCCGACAGCGGAAAGGGAUAGCAGCUUUCCAUAUCACUGGCACCCAAGAUCGAUAGGAGACCAAAGAAAUUGACAUCCAGACUCCAAUCUCUAUGAGCAUAUCCCGGGCCAUUGGGGUCAUUAGUGGCCUCAAUGAAUGUGUCAAUUUGUUUCAGUGGGCUGGAUCUUCUAUUUCAUAUCUGCGCUCCCGGUGGUCCGCAACACAGGAGGAAAGUAUUCAUCAUGAAGUAUUGCACUUGCAGAGUGGCUUAUGUUAGACUGUAUAUGGAUACGUAGACUUGUGUAUACGUGUUGUACUUGUACUUGUACCCUCUGGUACUUAUAUAUAAUGAGAUAGCCGCACCCCCCAAGGGUGUCGAGCAGUUGCC
rnacentral:rRNA from 1 species